AAGACUACAUUACAUAUAUCUUUCAUUGAUUUACAUUGUGAGGAAAACCACCGUACUUAUACAAGAUUUCAAGAUGAAAUAAAAGGAAACACAAUAAAGUUUGGGCUAGAAAUAUGGUUGGUUGUGAGCUGGCGGAUCCUUUAAUUUGGGAGAUGAUAUUGCUUAAUUUUGACUGAUCCCUAAAUUAUUUCUUUCUUCUACACUCCCCCUCAAGUUGAAUUGUGGGAUUGCCACGAUUCAACUUGGAUUGGUUUUGGUUUUGCUACCGUCUUCUUGACUUGGCAGCCGGUUUUGGUUUGAUUUGAACUACCGUCUUCUUGACAUGGUAAUUUGAGUUAUUGAGUUACCGCCUUUCGACAUGGUAACUUUUGGGUUGAUUUGAGCUACCGCCUUUUGACAUGGUAACUUUUGGGUUUUGGUUUGGAAACACCGUCGAUAGACAUGGUGCCUUGGUUUUGAUUUGAGCGUAUAUGUCAUUAACGCCCAACUUGCCAAGCAAUAUUUUUUUUUUGAACACUCCCCUCAAGUUAGAGCGUGUCCUUUUCUUGCGAGUUCAAAGAACCCGACUUUUCUUCGUGCGAGUUAAAAGAACCCGACUUUUCUCUUCCUGUGGGCUCAAAAGAACCCGGCUUUUCUUUUUUUUUUUUCUUCUUCUCCGCCUUGUUCGGUCUUCAUUCCUUUUUUUUUAAUUUAUGUCUUUUCUUCAUCCCACAAAUUGUCCCCUUUUUUAAAAACAACUCACGAGCAGUUCCUUGUCAAUCUUGUUCUUCACCUUUUUUUUAUAUGUUAUCUUCUUCAAAACACACACCUGCAUAUGAAAAAUCAGAGAUAGAGUGAGAGCCACGAGAGAACAAGGGGUGCCGGCCCUUCACAGGCGAGUCACAUUACUCCGGCGACGAACCACGAGCUUAAGUGGUUUGGUCUCAACCCGACACCCACAGAAAAAACACCCACUUCGCCGCCACGACCCAACACCCGUCUCUCUCUUCAUCUCCGGCGGUAUCGGGUGACGCACGGGGCCUGGUGCGACUCAGAUCUUGUGACGGUCUGCAGUGGAGUGGGUAUUGGUGGUUACAGGGUGGUUGCAGCGGAUUUUUACGGUGGUGAGAAGGUUUUGUUUUGGGUUUGGUUUGGUGACCGGCGGUGACGGCAGGAAGAAGAUGAAGACUGAGUUUUUCUGAAGCCUUUGAACAGAUUGUGGUGAAGGUGAGCAUGGAUGGGGACAAGAAAACCCGUAAAGCUCUGAAGAUCGCGGUUAGUAUAUCCGGAGUUGUAUCCGCGUCUUUCGUUGGGUCAGAUAAAGACCAGAUAGCGGUGACCGGUGAAGGUAUAGACUCGGUUGAACUAACAACCUUACUAAGAAAAAAGGUUGGAUACACGGAGCUGGUAAGCGUUGGGCCGGUGGAGGCGAAGAAAGACGAACCAAAGGAUUCGAAGCCCGCCGUGCAAAUUGAUCCUUAUCAGUACUACUAUCAAAGCUAUGGCGUGCCCUAUUAUUAUUAUGUAUAUUAGAAUUGAAAACAGAGUUGCAGAGGUGGUUACAAUAGUGAACAAAAAUAUGUGGUUUCAAGAUAGUUGUCCCCUUUUCUCAUGUUAAUAUUGUAUCUGUUUGUUCUCUCAGUGUUGUUGUGAUGCAAAAUUGUAUGUUUUGAUGGGAGAAAAUCUAAUAAAACCAAACAUUUUUAAGUUAA